GCUGGGCCCAUGCCUGCCCCGCGUCGGGGGCUCAGCCAGGGGGCAGCAGCACAGGGGCGGCACCGCACAUGGAGCCGGAGGAGCGAAGCUCCAGCACAAAGACGCUUGUACGGUGGCCAGCUUCUUGCCCAGCCUGGGGGCCCUGCACCGUGGUUUCUCAUGGCAAUCAGAGACGCCAUCUGCCUGAGGGACGCUCCGUCUAGUUCCCCAGCAGGAUUCAAGAGUCCUGGUGAGCCGAUGGACACACCAUGGAGGUGCCCUGGAAAGGAAGGGGUUGGAGUGAGUCCUAGCACCUCUGACUAGCACCAUAGGAAGCUGGUUCCUGUUCUUUGCCGUACAUCCCUAGGAGCCAGUGGGGCUCCCGAGAGGGUCACACUGACUGGGAGGCCAUGAGGCAGUCUGCAGGGGGCUGCGGGAGCAGCGUGGACUGGACACGGCUGCGGAUGUGUCCUAAUGCUGACACCUGGAAGAUGUGAGACCGGCAAGCGCCACAUGCUGGCCUGUGUGUGUAGAUUGCCCGACGAGCAGAGGCUCAAGUGCACAGAGGUAGAUGGCUUGCAGUGGGAGAGGGCUGCGGGCCAGAGCAUGGCUAAGGCUAGCUCUGCGUCAGCUGGGCUUGCUUGUCAUGGUCUCUCUGUGAGCCAGGGCACAUGCUGUGUCGAUGCUGCAUCUCUGCCACAGCAAACCCUGGGGAACGUUUUAGACACUUACAAAUUGGGGUGAGGCCAAAGCACUUCCUGCUUGUCUGAAACCUUCCCCUGGAAAGAGGACAGAUGGCCACUGGGGUUAGCGUUGGUGCAGGCUACUUCAUUUGCCUGGUCUGUGUUAAUGAUGGUGCUUAGCCUUUCUGGCUUGCCCAAGGUGCUCUCCAAACCCAAGUGAUGUGCCGUGCACAUGUGUGUGUGUGAACCGAGGUGCCAGCUGGCCAUGGGGGUAGCUCUGGAAAUUAUGAAUGGGAAACGGUGGAGGUGCUUAAGAAAGAAGUUCACCCUACUGACCCUUGGUCACUGGCUCCUACUGGGACUUCUCUGCUUCAGGGAAUGGUGCUUAGCGAGGUAGCAGUGGAGGGGGCCUCGGCAUUUCCCUGAGCCCCUGGUGAUUGUGUGCAUGAUCUCCUCAUGUCAGCAUGAUAGCUAGGGGCCCGAGGGAGCCUGGGUGGCCCUGCU